rnacentral:tRNA from 1 species
GCCCCGGUGGCGAAAUGGUAGACGCGGUGGACUCAAAAUCCACUGCCGCAAGGCGUGUUGGUUCGAGUCCGACCCGGGGCA